rnacentral:ncRNA from 1 species
UGGGGAAUGCGGUCUCCCCACGAGGCGAUAUGCCCAAGAAUCGC